UCAGAAUGGCGCACAAACGGAUGUAAUUGUAAAUUUAUCUCAAUAAUGCCCAAAAUCUCAUUCUCACAACUGGAUAGUGCUAUGACUAAUUUAUCUAACAAUACGUCUACCGAGAUGAUACAAUUCCAUAUUCUAAAUAUUGAUGUGAAUUUAACUUCAGCGACGAGUAACGAAGGUGCUUGCCAAUUUGAAUCUCCAAACAGACUACAAACUUAGCAACCCUAUUCUGAGAAAACCAUGAAAAAACUACAUUCAUGAUGGAUCUUGUACAGCAUCUUUAUCUUUACAAAAUCUAUAAAUAAAGAAUAAGAAAUCAGCUACUCUCACAAUCACAAAGCCAAGUAGUCCAUUAUUCAUUCCCCAGUGGAAAGCAACCCAACAUAAUUUAGGUGUUAAAAAAGAUCCACCAAAGCCUGUGGAAGAAUCAAAUGGCAUUGAAAAGAUUAUUUGCAAUUUUUGCACCAGCUACUUUGAGUGCAAUUGGUGACACCCUCCAGGCAUUAAUGACAAGAAGAUUUGAUAUAUACUGCAGAAACAUUGUAUCUUGAAUAUUAGCACUUACUCUUACUCAUAUACAUACAACUAACUAAAGCAUUAUAGAAGACUGCCAACUCCACUACCUAACAAUUUCCAAUUUCUUAUCAUCUACUCAACCAGCUAGGUGCACGGUUUAUACGGAUCCAAGACUUGUUUGUUUUGACCUUUUUUGGGGAUAUGAAGUGCUAUUAUAGGUUUUCUUCCAUUAAUUUUAGUUUAAUAAUAUUUAAGCAUUGUAAACAGUGAAACUCAGUAGGAUUAGGGAUAGUAAAGAAGAUCAUGAGAGUAUCAUAUCAUACAAAAGCGCUGUAAAUAAUCACGAAUAAGUAGCAAAAGAGGGUCCUGAUUCAAUGGCAUCGCUUCGAAUUCAAAAUCAUAGGGCACUAAUUAGCCAUUCUCGCGUUUAAAAAGGCAUUAAAGACAUAGGAAUAAGAAAUAGGCAGAACUGAGUAUCAAAAAAGGAAACAAGCAGAACCAAAUCAAAAUAAAAAAUAAAAAAUAGAAUAAACCCGGGCUCAUCUGAUUCCAACUGCAAGCUUCCAACGGAACUUGGGAGUGGCCAAGUAGGCAAGCAAAAGAAACAGAAACAGAGAAACUGAGACUCGCACUGAAACUAUUGCCGUUUCGACAACCACACUCAACAAGUCUACUGUCUUAUGGUAUGGGUGGCCCCCACAAUUGGAUUUCGCUUCUUUUGGUGAUUUUCACUCCCAGUCAUCCUCUACUCGUGCAUAGGUUGGGCCGUUGGGGUGUGCAUGCCCCGGCUCGACCCAAAUAUUCGAUUUGAUUCCGAACAUUUUAGGGGCUAUUUUGGUGUAAUUUUAUUGGGUCUAGAAUCGGAUAAGAAUCUCAAAAAUAGACUCGAUCAUUAUUUUGGGUCAAGUCCGGGCCAUGACUCGGGUCAUCCGAAGUCGGCCCGGUGGCCCGGUCAUCAUACACAAUUAAUAUUUUGUGUUAUUAGUGAUGGAUGAUGGUUAUUCUUAUGUGGAAUUUAAGUAUUGUAAACCUUAAUAUUUUGUGUUAUUAGUUAUUAUAAGACUAUAAGUUAAUGUUUUAUGUUUAAAAUACAUAAGAUUUUAGACUAAUGCAUAAUAUUGUGUUAUCUAUAUUGAUUUAAAUAUUUGGUGUUAUUAGACAAUAUUAGUAUUGAUUAUGGUUACGCUUUAAUUUUAGAGAAGAGUUAGUUCUUGUUAUAUUUUUCUAAGUGAAUUUUACCAUGUCAAAUAAUAGUUGGAGUCUUGAAAAUUUAGAUAUUUUCACAUAUUAGCUUAUAAGAAGAUAUCAAGGUAAUGUAAUGUUAACGGCUCGAUUUUCACCCGGUUUUUACCCGGUAUAAUCGUGGCCCGAAAGUGUAUAGGUUUCAUCAGAUCUAGGGCCGGGUUCGGGUCUAAUAAAUAGGCCCGGUAUAUAUUUCGGGUCGGGUCUGGAUCACAUCAAACCCGGUUUCACCCGACCCAUGCACACCCCUAGGUUGAAUCAAUGAAGCAUGGCCAUUUGGUUGAGUUGUCAUAUUUUAUAUAUUGGAUAUAUUUUGGAUAGAUACAAUUUUUGUAUGACAUAUUUGUUUGUCGUAUUCAAUUGUAUUUUAAUAAAAAAAUAAAAAAUGGAUAUAUUUAAAAAUACACCUAAAUACCAUUACAUAUCAGUAUGUUUAAUUUUAUUCUUAACAUGUAUUUUUAAAAUGAGUUUAGAAAUAAUAUAUAUUAUUAUUUAUUAAAAUAAAAAAUAUUUUAAAUACUUUAUAUAAUUAAAAAACAUAUUAAAAAUAGUUAAAAAAUUAUUUUAUAUUUUAAUAUUAAUAAAAUAUCAAAAUAUCAUUGAAAAUUUAUUUAAAAACUACUUUAUAUUUUAUAUAUAAGAAAAAUAGACAAAAGUACACCUGGAUUUUUAUACGGUAGACAGAUGUAGUCCUCAAUUUUUUAAUGAGUCAUUUGCACACACGAAUAUAAAAUUUCAUUGUCAAUUCUACCCUUCCGUGGUCUGAGUAAUUUUUCUGGUGGUGGUAGAGGCCAGGUGGCACGGUAUUGUAUGAUAUGGCCAAUUUGAGGUGACACAGUGAAAAAUAGAAAUAUUCAUUAUGAAAUUUGUUGAAAUAAAUAUAAGAAAAGGGAAUAAUUAAAUCACUGUUCAUCCUCUUCCUUCUCUAAUUCCUUCGAACCAUAUGAACCCUAACACGGGAAAAAAAAUUCUUUCUUCACUCUCUUCAAUUUUCUCUGUACAUCUUCGUCCUUUCUGUUGUAACAAGGGUUUGUAAACUCUAAUGUAUAAAAAUGUCACACUCUCAAUGAAAGAAGAAUAUACCUCAUACUUGUGCCAGUAGUUACGGUAGCUCAUCUUCUGCGCCAAAAAAUAGGAAGAAGAAGAAGUUUGACUACAACAAUGGCAAGUGCCUACAUGGACUUGACGCAGUGGUGCUUGAGUCUGCUAUAGAGUGGAACCCUAGAAGAUUGUUUCUUCGUUGUUCAUUAUGGGAGGUAUGUGAAUUCUGAUUUUAUUUUUAUGACAAAUGUUAAUUUUCUGCAAAAUGGUUAAAAUUGUAGUCGAAUUCAUAAUACAGAAAUUUCAUUUGAGCUAAUGAAGUUAUUAAUGCUGGAAGAGAUUGCGGGAUUCAGGAGCAGAGUGAAGAAAGCAAAUGGAGGUAUGCAGAAGAAAGCAACUGGAAGGUAAAAAGAAGAAAUGAAGAUGUUGCAGACAAUUGAUGGGAUUAAUCAAGAGUUGAAGAACAUUAGAAAAUGGAUACAGUAUGUAUGCUUAGGGAUAAGUAUAUGUAUUCUGUGUUUGUUUAUUAACACAUUUCAUCAGUAGUUGUAAUUCCCUCUAAGUAGAAGGCUGUGUUGUCACUUUCAUUUCCAUCAGUAUCUGAAUAUAAAUGGUUUUUUCAAGGUUAUUAAUACAAAUGGUUGGUUCAAUUUUAUUUCUAGUACAAUUCCUGUGCAACAAAACAAACUGAAGAUCUAAUUCAUUAUGAAUAAUAAAUAAGCAUAACUAUGAUAAUCUAUCAUUAGCAACAAACUAUGAUAAUCUACAAUUUCAACUUGCAAAAUAGCAAAUGUCUAUGCCUAUAGGCAUCAAAACAGAUGUUUACAUCAAAAUAUUAAUCGGCUAAAUCCAAACCACAGAAGUACAUGUCUAAAUUACAAUACCAUAAGCAUACCCCUAAAUGAUAACAACAAUUUUAGAUUUUCUUGAGGCCACACACCCUAUUCACUAUCAUAAUCAUCCUCACAAUCGGAUGACAUUGGACUGUGUAAAUCUUCAGAUUCGUACUGAUAGUAGUCAGGGUCGGAGUCACUAUCAUCAUCUGAAUUAGAUGAAUCAGGCUCCACAUGAGGAACAAAGAUCUUUGGUGUCUCAUUCCUUCCUCCUUGAACAAACCUUUGACCAGUCGGUGCUGGCCUCUUAUACGAUGCUCUUCUAUUUUUUUGACUGUUCUUAGAUUUCUGGGUGGGCACUUCAUUCUGACCUUCUUACUGUGAAUUAUUAGGAGGUGGGACUUCUGCUUCACUUUGCUGCUGGGUCGUGUUUCGGUUGACAUUUGGGAUUUCGAAUUGUGACAUUGGUUGGGUUGUAAAAGAAGGAUUGGGAGAUGCUGGGUUCUGAGUUUCAUUGGAACUUUGGUUGAUUUUGUUUUUCUUGUUGGCCUUCUUAACAUACAACUUUUUUAGGGAAGGCUUUUUGUGGAUUUCCAUCUCACUUCUUCUUCUUGGGGUUUCUUGUGGUGUAGGUUGUUCAAUGGUAUCUAUAGUUGGGCAUGACUCAUCAUCUACAAUGUCUACCACUUCAACUUUCUCAGGUAAAUCAACAAUAUGAUCCCAAUAAAUAUGGCAUAUUCUUUCAUUUUCAAUACCAAAUUCAUACAUUCGGACUACAUCACUGUCAAGCCUAAUUAAAUGCAAACCAUUCGAUACCUCAUUCUCAACCCAGUAAAAAUCUUUGAAUGAGACAUACCCCAAAUCCUUAAAUAACCCCACCAUAAAAAAUGUAUUCAGAGUUUCCACAUUCACCCUAGGAAUCACAGUAACCUCCCCUCCAACAUAUUUUAGAACCCCAUUCAUGUUUCUCUCAAAUCUUCCCUCGUGAUGAUACACAAAGGUUAUAUGAUUUGCCAUCUGUUUAUCGAAAAAUUCUCUAUCAAACUAUAGAAUAACCAAAUUGAUGUAUUUUCAUAUCAUAACACAGAUACAUGUGAAGGAAGGAAGCAUUAUCUUUUGAUCACGUCUGAUUCUGAACUCUCCUCCUUCGCAUAAGCCUGUGUGUGGACUUUCACGCUUCGUGUCCUACCACUUUUGCCUUCAGAAUAUAACGCAAAUGAUGAACUGCAACGAACGAACUGUGAAGUGCCUAGAAAUUCACUAUGCUUACUCUCUGCUAGGGCAUGUUUUCAUUCAACACUAAAAUAUGAAAAUGAAGAUAAUGAAGAGACUUGUAAAACUUUUUCUUUUUAAAAAAAAAUCAGCAAAUUUCAUAAUGAAUAUUUCUAUUUUUCACUGUGUCACCUCAAAUUGGCCAUAUCAUACAAUACCGUGCCACCUGGCCUCCACCACUGCCGAAAAAAUUACUCAGGUCACGGAAGGGUAGAUUGACAACGGAGUUUUAUAUUCAUGUUUGCAAAUGACUCAUUAAAAAAUUGAGAAGUACAUCUGUCUACCGUGUGAAAAUUCGAGUGUACUUUUGUCUAUUUUUCCUUUAUAUAUAUGUCGUGUCCUCGUCUCUUAUAAGAUUUUAAAAUUUUUGUGUCAUGUGUCCUGUGUCGUGUUAUGUCCUGUGUCCCUGUCAGUAUCCGUGCAUCAUAGGAUUGAACUAUUUAAUUAGGUAAAAAUUAAGUAAAUCUAUUAAAUUAUCAUAAAAUCAAAAUACUACAUUAUUAUUCAAUAAUAAUUGAAUUAUAUAUAAAAUUUAGUUUAAUUCAUGCUUUUAUAUAUAAUUAUGGAAGAGUUUCUGGCAUAGUUGUCUGAACUGACCCGAUGAUCAAACUAGUAAAACUACUGGGUUACUGAGUUUCUGGUUCAACCAGUAUAUCACAAUUGAAUCGGUUGAUCCAAUCUUAUUUAAAUAAAAAUAUAAAAUAAUAUAAAAUUAAAAUUUAAAAUAUAUGUCUUCCUUACAAAGUUGGCAGUUUAUGUCUUCUCUAUAGACACGUGCUCUCUUUUGUUAAGUAAAAAUCUACCAUGGAGAACUUGCCAAAUAAAGGUUUUAGCCUUUUGAGGUCCUUCCCAGCUCCAUAUAAUGGUUCGUAGUGUUUUCCUAGAUGCUGACUAAUUUUUUAUGACUUUGUAGGUGGUUCCUGUAGAGAAGUCCUCAUAUGUCAUGUGCCUCCAACCUAUUCGGUCAUCUCCAUGGCUUUGUUGGGUUUAGACAUAGCAAUAAUCUUCAUGACUGUCUCCUCAAGUAAGCUUUUUCUCAGUUUAUUUUUUGUUCCAGUUACCGAACCUGUUUGUCCAUUUUCAAACACAAUUUUUUUUUGCCAGUGAUAUUUCUAGUUGCCUUGUUGAUCAAUAUUCCUUAUUUUUCUACCCAGGGAUCCAGCCAAAAAUUGGUUGACAAUCCAUCACCAAUAUGGUGGAUAAUACAUUCCUUGAAGGUUGGCCAGAGUUUCACAAGCUCUUUCCAAAGAGGUGAGUCUGACUUCCUUAUUGUAGGUUGGUUUAGAUCUCUGUUGUUAUUGCAAUAUUUGUGAGUCAGAACUUCUACCCAUAGUGAAUUAGGCCUUUCUUUGAUGUUCCAUAUGAUCUUAAGUAAGAAGGCAUCAUUUAUAGUGUUUAGUUUCGCAUUUUUAAUCCUCCUUCAUGUUUAGGAGUGCAGAUAGUUUUCCAAUUGAUAGCAUGAAAUUUUUCUCUAGUUGUUUGUGUCUCCCUGAUAAACCCCAAUUUUGUGGCUUAUCUUGUAUUGAAUUUAGGAGAUUUUAUCAACUUAUCUCACACUUAUUCACUAAAAUAGCAUGGUUUUAUAAACUCUCCCUAAUUUGUGCUUAAGAGUGAAAACAUGCUUUUUAGGCCUUAAAAUUGUUAAAUUUAAUUCACUUUAAUUCCAUUCGAUGCCUUGAUAUGUUUGUUUGAGUGAUUUAAGAUUUUGAAGGCAAGAAUGGUUUGAAAGAAAUGGAAGAAAAGCAUGAAAACUGGGAGAACUCAUGAAGAAAUGAAGGAAUUGCUAAGCUGACAAUCAUGACCUCUUCGUACUAAAUCGAUCAUAACUUGAGCUACAGAGAUCCAAAUGAGGCGGUUCCAGUUACAUUGGAAAGAUAACAUCUGGGACUUCAAAAUGAUAUGCAAUUUACCAUAGUUGCCUUGCAGUUAGAUGAUGCGUACGCGUCGACCAUCAUGCGUGUCGUAGGAUCAGCGUGACUCGCUUAAAGGCAACACGUGACCAGCAAUUUCUGAAGCAUUUUAGGCCCAAUCUAACCCAUUUCUGAUACUAUUGAACCAAGAAUUGAAGGGGAAAUGAACCAAGUAGUCAUAGUAUAGUUUUCAUCAUGUUUUAGGUUAGAAUUCUAGAGAGAGAAGCUCUCCAUUCUAAGAAAUUAUAAAGAGAAGUAGAUGAAAACAAGAAAUUAAACCUAAAUCUAAGAAGAAUUAACCUAAUUCUAACCUAAUUCUAACCUAAAGCAUGGUCCUUAGCUAAACUAAUUGCUCCCCCCUUGACCCAUCUUGAGUUCUGCAUCAAAUAGCCUCAGAAAUGAGUUGGACUUGGCCGGAAAGCUCAGAAAUCGCCCCGAGCGAAUUCACUUUAAGUGAGUCACGUGCUGCUCGUCACGUGUGCACGUGGAUAACGUGUGCAUGUUGCUGGCAAAUUUUCUCCUCACGCGUACGCAUGGGUAACGCGUGCGCGUGGCUUUGCAAAUGUCCUUCUCAUGCGUACGCGUGAGUGA
rnacentral:lncRNA from 1 species